rnacentral:rRNA from 1 species
CCUACGGGGCGCAGCAGUGAGGAAUAUUGGUCAAUGGACGAGAGUCUGAACCAGCCAAGUAGCGUGAAGGAUGAAUGCCCUAUGGGUUGUAAACUUCUUUUAUAUGGGAAUAAAAUGUUCCACGUGUGGGAUUUUGUAUGGACAAUAUGAAUAAGGAUCGGCGAAUUCCGUGCCAGCAGCCGCGGUAAUACGGAGGAUCCGAGCGUUAUCCGGAUUUAUUGGGUUUAAAGGGAGCGUAGGUGGAUUGUUAAGUCAGUUGUGAAAGUUUGCGGCUCAACCGUAAAAUUGCAGUUGAAACUGGCAGUCUUGAGUACAGUAGAGGUGGGCGGAAUUCGUGGUGUAGCGGUGAAAUGCUUAGAUAUCACGAAGAACUCCGAUUGCGAAGGCAGUUCACUGGACUGCAACUGACACUGAGGCUCGAAAGUGUGGGUAUCAAACAGGAUUAGAUACCCUUGUAGUC